rnacentral:rRNA from 1 species
CCUACGGGGGGCAGCAGUGAGGAAUAUUGGUCAAUGGGCGCAAGCCUGAACCAGCCAAGUAGCGUGCAGGAUGAAGGCCCUAUGGGUCGUAAUCUGCUUUUAUGUGGGGAUAAAUUCAAUCACGUGUGAUUGCUUGCAGGUACCACAUGAAUAAGGACCGGCUAAUUCCGUGCCAGCAGCCGCGGUAAUACGGAAGGUCCGGGCGUUAUCCGGAUUUAUUGGGUUUAAAGGGAGCGUAGGCCGCCUCUUAAGCGUGUUGUGAAAACCGGGCGCUCACCGUCCGGCUUGCAGCGCGAACUGGGGGGCUUGAGUGCGUGCGACGCCGGCGGAAUUCGUCGUGUAGCGGUGAAAUGCUUAGAUAUGACGAGGAACUCCGAUUGCGAAGGCAGCUGGCGAGUGCUCAACUGACGC